AUUGAACGCUGGCGGCAUGCUUUACACAUGCAAGUCGAACGGUAACAGGCCUUCGGGUGCUGACGAGUGGCUAACGGGUGAGUAAUGCAUCGGAACGUACCCAGAGGUGGGGGAUAACGCAGCGAAAGCUGUCCUAAUACCGCAUGUGAUCUGAGGAUGAAAGCGGGGGACCGAGCAGCAAUGUUUGGCCUCGCGCCUUUGGAGCGGCCGAUGUCGGAUUAGCUAGUUGGUGGGGUAAUGGCCUACCAAGGCGACGAUCCGUAGCUGGUCUGAGAGGACGGUCAGCCACACUGGAAGUGGGACACGGCCCAGACUCCUACGGGAGGCAGCAGUGGGGAAUGUUGGGCAGUGGGCGCAAGCCUGAUCCAGCAAUGCCGCGUGCGGUAAGAAGGCGUUCGGGUUGUAAACCGCUUUUGGCAGGAACGAAACGGUGUCCGCUAAUACCAGGCGCUAAUGACGGUACCUGCAGAAUAAGCACCGGCUAACUACGUG
rnacentral:rRNA from 1 species